rnacentral:rRNA from 1 species
CAGCGGGGCCCAUCCCGUAAGGCUAAAUACUCCCGAGAGACCGAUAGCGAACCAGUACCGUGAGGGAAAGGUGAAAAGAACCCCGAGCAGGGGAGUGAAAUAGACCCUGAACCCGUCUGCCUACAAGCGGUCGGAGCGUUGUUAUGACGUGACGGCGUGCCUUUUGCAUAAUGAACCUACGAGUUACCUUCCCCGGCAAGGUUAAGUACCUAAGGUACGGAGCCGAAGCGAAAGCGAGUCUGAAGAGGGCGGCCAGUCGGGGGGGGUAGACGCGAAACCGAGUGAUCUACCCUUGGCCAGGUUGAAGGUUGGGUAACACCAACUGGAGGACCGGAUGGGUAAGCGUUGAAAAGCUUUCCAAUGAGCUGAGGGUAGGGGUGAAAGGCUAAUCAAACUCGGAGAUAGCUCGUACUCCCCGAAAUGCAUUUAGGUGCAGCCUCUUUAUAGUAUAUCGUGAGGUAGAGCGACUGAUUGGAUGCGAGGGCUUCACCGCCUAUCAAGUCCAGAUAAACUCCGAAUGCGCGAUAUAUAUUUACAGGGAGUGAGGGCGCGGGUGCUAAGGUCCGUGUCCGAGAGGAGAAGAAUCCAGACCACCGGCUAAGGCCCCCAAAUGAUCGUUGAGUUGAACUAACGAGGUCGGAUCGCAGAGACAGCUAGGAUGUUGGCUUGGAAGCAGCCAUUCAUUUAAAGAGUGCGUAACAGCUCACUAGUCGAGCGAUCUGGCGUGGAUAAUAAUCGGGCAUAAACGAUCUGCCGAAGCCGUGGAUGUCGUAAGACAUGGUAGGGGAGCAUUCCAUGCGGCGUCGAAGAUGAGGGAUGACCCUUGUUGGAGCGCAUGGAAAAGCAAAUGUAGGUAUGAGUAACGAUAAGGGGGGCGAGAAACCCCCCCGCCGAAAGACCAAGGUUUCCUGAUCAACGCUAAUCGGAUCAGGGUGAGUCGGGACCUAAGGCAAAGCCGAACGGCGCCGCCGAUGGAAGAAUGGGUUAAUAUUCCCAUACUGCCUCAUGGAGUGACGUGGAGACGGAGAAGUGACAGUCCUGCCGGCUGACGGAAUAGCCGGUUGAAGGGUGUAGAUAUUGAUUCCCGUAGGCAAAUCCGCGGGGAGAGUCGAACCUGACAGUAUACCGAGUACUUGUACGAGGUAAUAUGGACGUAACCAUGCUCCCAAGAAAAUCCGCUAAACUUAUCCAUGCGGCACCCGUACCGUAAACGGACACACGUGGUCGGGUUGAGAAUACUGAGGCGCUCGAGUGACUCACGGUUAAGGAACUAGGCAAAUUGACCCUGUAACUUCGGGAUAAAGGGUCCUCGUCGUAAGGCGAGGCGCAGAGAAUAGGUCCAGGCAACUGUUUAACAAAAACACAUGGCUAUGCUAAAUGGAAACAUGACGUAUAUAGCCUGACACCUGCCCGGUGCUGGAAGGUUAAGAGGAGAUGUCAUCGCAAGAGAAGCGUUGAAUUGAAGCCCCAGUAAACGGCGGCCGUAACUAUAACGGUCCUAAGGUAGCGAAAUUCCUUGUCGGGUAAGUUCCGACCUGCACGAAUGGUGUAAUGAUCUGGACACUGUCUCAACCGUGAGCUCGGUGAAAUUGUAGUAUCGGUGAAGAUGCCGAUUACCCGCGAUGGGACGAAAAGACCCCGUGAACCUUUACUAUAGCUUUACAUUGAAUUUGGGCAGACGAUGUGUAGGAUAGGCCGGAGGCUUUGAAGGGGGUACGCCAGUAUCCUUGGAGCCGCCGUUGAAAUACGGCCCUUCGGUUGUUUGAGUUCUAACUCCUAGGCAGGAGGACACUGUAUGGUGGGUAGUUUGACUGGGGUGGUCGCCUCCAAAAGCGUAACGGAGGCUUCUAAAGGUGCCCUCAGACCGAUUGGUAACCGGUCGUAGAGUGUAAUGGCAUAAGGGCGCUUGACUGGGAGAGAUACAACUCGAUCAGGUAGGAAACUAGAGCAUAGUGAUCCGGUGGUUCCGCAUGGAAGGGCCAUCGCUCAAAGGAUAAAAGGUACUCCGGGGAUAACAGGCUGAUCCCUCCCAAGAGCUCAUAUCGACGGAGUGGUUUGGCACCUCGAUGUCGGCUCGUCACAUCCUGGGGCUGGAGAAGGUCCCAAGGGUUGGGCUGUUCGCCCAUUAAAGUGGCACGCGAGCUGGGUUCAGAACGUCGUGAGACAGUUCGGUCUCUAUCUAUCGUGGGCGCAGGAGAUUUGAGGGGCUCUGACACUAGUACGAGAGGACCGUGUUGGACGUACCACUGGUUUACCGGUUGUCCCGCCAGGGGCACCGCCGGGUAUCUAAGUACGGAUCGGAUAAGUGCUGAAAGCAUCUAAGUACGAAGCCGGCCUCAAGAUUAGAUCUCCCUCAAGGGUGGUUAUAGACGAUGACCUUGAUAGGCCACAGGUGUAAGGGCGGCGACGUCCGAGCCGAGUGGUACUAAUAGCCCGGGACUUUCCUCA